CGAAGAUUCCCUUCGAUUUCCCUGAGAUACCACCAUCAGAUCCUGGUUUCCUUAUCAUGGUACCAACCUUGAGAUAUCUCUUUUCCAUUAAAAGAAGAAUCAUCACAAUCGGUACACCCAGUAAAAAAAGACCAGGUAAAAAAA